rnacentral:rRNA from 1 species
GAUGAACGCUGGCGGUGUGCCUAAUACAUGCAAGUCGUACGCAUUCUCGUUUCUGAUUGACGGUGCUUGCACCUAAUUGACGAGACAUUGGAAUGAGUGGCGGACGGGUGAGUAACACGUGGGUAACCUGCCCAGAAGUGGGGGAUAACAUUUGGAAACAGAUGCUAAUACCGCAUAGAAGUCAAAACCACAUGGUUUUGAUUUAAAAGAUGGCCUUUGUGCUAUCACUUCUGGAUGGACCCGCGGCGUAUUAGCUAGUUGGUAAGGUAACGGCUUACCAAGGCAAUGAUACGUAGCCGAACUGAGAGGUUGAUCGGCCACAAUGGGACUGAGACACGGCCCAUACUCCUACGGGAGGCAGCAGUAGGGAAUCUUCCACAAUGGGCGCAAGCCUGAUGGAGCAACACCGCGUGAGGGAAGAAGGGUUUCGGCUCGUAAAACUCUGUUGUUAAAGAAGAACGUAUCUAAGAGUAACUGCUUAGGUAGUGACGGUAUUUAACCAGAAAGCCACGGCUAACUACGUGCCAGCCGCCGCAGUAA